UCCCAAACGGCCAGUUUGCAGCUGUCAUGGU
rnacentral:piRNA from 1 species